rnacentral:pre_miRNA from 2 species
UCCUUCUUCAGAGGGGCUGUGAAAUGUUUUGACUUUAAAUAGGCAUAUCACAGCCAGCUUUGAGGAGCGAUA